UGCUUAACUUGAAUGAGCAAAUAUAUUUUUUUUCCCCAUUUUACAGCUGGAAAAUGAGGAGCAGGCAAAUGUUAAGUAACUUGCUUGAGGUCACUCAGUGAGGCUCAGUGGCGUCUGGGCUCUAACUCAGAAGUUCCUGAUUCCCUGUGGCUGGGCCACAAGUUCAUAGCCGCUGGCUCACAGCAGCUUCCGGAACAGAACGAAGUUUUCCUGUAAGCCCUAGAGAGUGUUACGAUGCCACAUCAACCUAAAUGCAUUCAGAAACCAGGCUACAAGGAAGGCCAGCAACCGCAAGUUCUUAUUGCUUUAACCUUCUGCCCACAUUGAGGAAACUCACCUCCAUGUAAGUUUUGCCAAAAGAAGGAAGCAGGAAAGAUAACUCUGGGGGAAAUAUUGUAGCCUGAUAUCCAUGGAUAAAAACUCCAAGUGGGAAAAUUAACUUUUUUUUUUUUUCUGCAGUAGAAGUCACGAAAUUAAAAUCAGCAUUCCUGGCAGUGGGUGUCUGACAAAUAUUUUUGCCUUUUCACAAAUCCCAAAUCAAAAAGUACUAACUCCAAGUGAAAAUUAGAGCCGGGUCAGUGAAUGGCUGUGACUCUGUAGACCUAAAUGCUUAAUGUGCUAUAGACUUCAACAGUUAAGUCUGGGAGAUUGAAGGCAAAUCAACUUGGAUCCAGGUACAGCUAAAUCAGUUCCAAAUACUCUGGACCACAAAAUGCAGGAUUUUCUGUCUUGAUGGAUUGCAGUACACUUCGGUGGGCUCAGAAGCUGUGAGAGAAAAACAAAAUUAAAUGCUUUUAAAUCGACUCAAGCAGCUGGAUUGCUAAUAUUCAACACAUGAGAAUAAUGAUACUUGAAACUUACAUUGCAAAGAAAAAAAAGAAACAUAAAAAAUAAAAACCAUAUUCAGAGGGCUUGAUCCUGCAGGGAGAACAGAACUCGCCGUUGAGAUCACUGAGUUGUCACUACGACAUUAAGAAAAAUUGAAUACACAUUGUUUUCUAGUGAGACAUGUGGUCCUUUAGUUUAUAAUGCCUCCUUAACCUUAGUUCUACUGUGCAAUUAGACUUCCAACAUACAGAGAUCUAUUUAACAAAUACUGAAGUGUCAAGAUAUUUUAAUUUAAAGUGUAUCUUCAAUGUCCACAGCACUAUUUUAGAUACUAAGAAAACAGCAAUGCACAAGAAAACAUCCCUGCCCUCGUAGAGCUUACCUCUAAAUCGUGCCAAAACCAAAGUUAGGUAAGAUGAUGCAAAUCAUACCUCUCAAGAUAAUCAGGUCAAUGGUGGUUCCAGAAUUUCUAUAUCUAAGACUCUAACUCAGGGAUUUUGUGAUAGGAGGUGUUGAACAGGUUAUCUUAAAGCUAUAUAGGUGCAUAGUGACUUCAAACGCUCCAUAUAGAUUGUACACUUAGUUUGGGUAGUUGGGGGAGGAAGUUACUGAUAGA
rnacentral:lncRNA from 1 species